UACGUAGGGUGCGAGCGUUGUCCGGAAUUACUGGGCGUAAAGGGUGCGUAGGCGGCGCGGUAAGUCGGGUGUGAAAUCUCGGAGCUUAACUCCGAAACUGCAUUCGAUACUGCCGUGCUUGAGGACUGGAGAGGAGACUGGAAUUUACGGUGUAGCGGUGAAAUGCGUAGAUAUCGUAAGGAAGACCAGUGGCGAAGGCGGGUCUCUGGACAGUUCCUGACGCUGAGGAGCGAAAGCGUGGGGAGCGAACAGG
rnacentral:rRNA from 1 species